AGUGAACGCUGGCGGUAGGCCUAACACAUGCAAGUCGAACGGCAGCACAGGAGAGCUUGCUCUCUGGGUGGCGAGUGGCGGACGGGUGAGGAAUACAUCGGAAUCUACUCUGUCGUGGGGGAUAACGUAGGGAAACUUACGCUAAUACAGCAUACGACCUACGGGUGAAAGCAGGGGAUCUUCGGACCUUGCGCGAAUGAAUGAGCCGAUGUCGGAUUAGCUAGUUGGCGGGGUAAAGGCCCACCAAGGCGACGAUCCGUAGCUGGUCUGAGAGGAUGAUCAGCCACACUGGAACUGAGACACGGUCCAGACUCCUACGGGAGGCAGCAGUGGGGAAUAUUGGACAAUGGGCGCAAGCCUGAUCCAGCCAUACCGCGUGGGUGAAGAAGGCCUUCGGGUUGUAAAGCCCUUUUGUUGGGAAAGAAAUCCAGCUGGCUAAUACCCGGUUGGGAUGACGGUACCCAAAGAAUAAGCACCGGCUAACUUCGUGCCAGCCGCCGCGGUAA
rnacentral:rRNA from 1 species